UGGGGAAUUUUGGACAAUGGGCGAAAGCCUGAUCCAGCAAUGCCGCGUGUGUGAAGAAGGCCUUCGGGUUGUAAAGCACUUUUGUCCGGAAAGAAAUCCUUGGCUCUAAUACAGCCGGGGGAUGACGGUACCGGAAGAAUAAGCACCGGCUAACUACGUGCCAGCAGCCGCGGUAAUGCGUAGGGUGCAAGCGUUAAUCGGAAUUACUGGGCGUAAAGCGUGCGCAGGCGGUUUGCUAAGACCGAUGUGAAAUCCCCGGGCUCAACCUGGGAACUGCAUUGGUGACUGGCAGGCUAGAGUAUGGCAGAGGGGGGUAGAAUUCCACGUGUAGCAGUGAAAUGCGUAGAGAUGUGGAGGAAUACCGAUGGCGAAGGCAGCCCCCUGGGCCAAUACUGACGCUCAUGCACGAAAGCGUGGGGAGCAAACAGGAUUAGAUACCCUGGUAGUCCACGCCCUAAACGAUGUCAACUAGUUGUUGGGGAUUCAUUUCCUUAGUAACGUAGCUAACGCGUGAAGUUGACCGCCUGGGGAGUACGGUCGCAAGAUUAAAACUCAAAUGAAUUGACGGGGUCAUAGCUGUUUCCU
rnacentral:rRNA from 1 species